AAAAGAAAAAGACAUGAACAAAUUAACCCAAAUAAAUUUGUAGAAAACCCAAUGGUAAAGACGAUAACCCUGAAAACGGCCAAACAACUCCUAUCUCUCUGUCGACACAAAAGGGGAUACUGAUAAAACCGUUUUUCCUCUUUGGUUUUCGGGCCGCCGACAUUUGCCGGUGGUUCUAUUUUGUUUCUUGCUUUAUUUUUCUUCUGUUUUCAAUAAUUGUGAUGGGGAAUUUUCUGUUAUCUCAGAUUGUUCUCAGAUUUAUUUUCUUCAUUCGAUUUCUCUUCACCUUUAUGGUGAUGAUUGUAAUUCUCUUUGUCGAUGAUAUGGUUUUCUUGGGACAUCUCUCCCACCCUUCCGCAGUUAUCCCCACACUGAAACCCAUGAUUCGAUGUGAUGCAGUCUUGUUCUCGCAGAUUUACAAAUAUAAAUGGAGAUCUCGGAAUUUGGUGUCUUUACAACUAUACAAACAGAUCUACUUUGGAAAAUGGAAACUACCAUGGAAAAAGAGACAAUUCGGGAUGAAUGGAUAAUGACAAUAAGCAACUAUCUAUGGAGGAGAAUGAUCGGAAGAUGGUUUAUGUCAUGUACACAACAAUGGGUUUUAAGCACAACCAAGACCAAUGACAUCUCAUUCUAUAUGAGAGUCUCGAUCAAUCCAAAAGCUUUGUGAUGUAACAUAUGGAUCGUUGCAUAUGACUCUCAACUGCAUUACCGGUAUUUUAUCAGUAAAAAGAAGAAGAUCCCUAAGCAAGAAAGUCACACCAAAUUGACGGAAAUGACGAAGAUGAUAAAGUACUUGACUAAGAAUGCGGCAUGUAUUGCUUCAUCAUUUUUUCGUUACAAAAACAAUUGGUUGUAUUUGUAAUCUCAUUGAUAAUCAUGUAUACUUUGAUUCACAUUAAUAAAGUUUGUUUAGAUGUUAAAAAAAAAAAUGUAGAAAACCAUUACCAGUUUAUCAUGCAUCAAACCUAAGAUUGGUCAUAUACCAACUAAACAAAGUGAUAAAUGUUAUUUUCUGUAUGGCAACCCUACAGUUGUCUUAAACUUAAGAAAAUUUUGUUUAGGACUAAUACAUUUAAU
rnacentral:sRNA from 1 species